rnacentral:rRNA from 1 species
AUUGAACGCUGGCGGCAUGCUUUACACAUGCAAGUCGAACGGCAGCGCGGGCUUCGGCCUGGCGGCGAGUGGCGAACGGGUGAGUAAUACAUCGGAACGUGCCCAGUAGUGGGGGAUAGCUCGGCGAAAGCCGGAUUAAUACCGCAUACGACCUGAGGGUGAAAGCGGGGGAUCUUCGGACCUCGCGCUAUUGGAGCGGCCGAUGGCAGAGUAGCUAGUUGGUGGGGUAAAGGCCUACCAAGGCGACGAUCUGUAGCUGGUCUGAGAGGACGACCAGCCACACUGGGACUGAGACACGGCCCAGACUCCUACGGGAGGCAGCAGUGGGGAAUUUUGGACAAUGGGCGAAAGCCUGAUCCAGCAAUGCCGCGUGUGUGAUGAAGGCCUUCGGGUUGUAAAGCACUUUUGGCGGGAACGAAAAGGACUGUGCCAAUACCACGGUUCGAUGACGGUACCCGCAGAAUAAGCACCGGCUAACUACGUG